CAGAAUCCCAAAAUCCCAAAAGCCUCUUCAACUUUGGCUGCUCGUCUCUCUCAAACCCUAUCUUUUCCCCACUGCUCUGGUGUGAAAAUCGAUCGCACAUCCUCAAUAUCGCAGUUAAAUUUCAAAUUCUCUUUUCCAUUAUUGCUUGGUGAAGCUUCUGUCAUGGUAGAUUGAAGAUCGGACAAUAUCAUCUCCUUCUACUCCAUUUGCCUUGCUUUCAGUUUCUCUUGCUGGAGUCAUAGGCGCCGGGUGAAACAUGGGUGCUGUCAAAUUGGAACUCUGGUGUCCUAAAAACAUUAAUGGAGUAGCAGUAAAUCCACAGCCAGAUUGUAGUUUGGAUUUUCUCACUACAUAAUUGAAUUCCAUGCAUCUCAAUGCCUCUUUCUUGCGCCAGGUGCCUUCUGUUAAAUCAAGAACCUGGACUACAGACAUUAUUACCCUCCCCAAACACCACAGUGGUGGGAACCUCGUGCAUUGGCUACGCCUGUUCUGGACAGGUCUCUUGCUAUGUUUUCAGGCUAAGUCCAUAUUAGUGGGUUUCAUUGCAAAUUUAUAGCCGAAUUCGGACUUUCUAUCCCUAGUAUCUGCAGUUGCUAGAUCCUUGGGUGGAAAAAAGAGAAUAGUUCUUGGAUGCUUUUAGUUAACUCAGGAAUGUCUAUGAGUAAUAAAAAAGAAAAAAGAGCAACCCAGUGCACAAGGCUCCUGCUAUAGCAUGCUUUGGGAGGGCCAAAUGUACACAACCUUACCCCUGCUUUGCAGGAGAGGCUAUUUUGAAGUUUCUAACUUAUGACCAACAUGUGCAGUGCUUCCUCAUUGCAGUGUCUUCAACUGUCAUGGAAAUUUUUUUUUUCUGGAAUUGAUUCACAACCCUAUCAGGCUAGGUUGAUGCCUUUGAGAACACUAAGAUUCAAUGAAUUUGUCUGCAAUCCAUGCAAUGCAGACUUUGAUGGAGAUGAAAUGAAUAUGCAUGUUCCUCAAACUGAGGAGGUUCGUACUAUUAUGCUGAUGGGGGGUAAAUUAUAUUUAAGCUCAGCCUUUUUCUUGAUUUUAAUUUUUUUUUCUUGUAAUGCAUAUUUGACCUCCUUAGAUUUAGCUAAUUAUGUCUGCAUCAAUUUUUCUGCAACGAGAGCUUCUCUGGAUUGAGGAAGGUGGAGCAUUACUUAGUUUAGAAGGUCACUGGAGAUCGACAUUGUAUGUUUUGGGCACUAGUAACGUUUCUCAAUUCUUUGUGAAACUAGUAUCGGUGGAAAGAUGAUGAUGCAGGUAUUAUGGUGCCAAGGGCAGGUGAUCCAGUAUCUUCUAGGUCGG